rnacentral:rRNA from 1 species
AUUGAACGCUGGCGGCAGGCUUAACACAUGCAAGUCGAGCGGAGAUGAGGUGCUUGCACCUUAUCUUAGCGGCGGACGGGUGAGUAAUGCUUAGGAAUCUGCCUAUUAGUGGGGGACAACAUUCCGAAAGGAAUGCUAAUACCGCAUACGUCCUACGGGAGAAAGCAGGGGAUCUUCGGACCUUGCGCUAAUAGAUGAGCAUAAGUCGGAUUAGCUAGUUGGUGGGGUAAAGGCCUACCAAGGCGACGGUCUGUAGCGGGUCUGAGAGGAUGAUCCGCCACACUGGGACUGAGACACGGCCCAGACUCCUACGGGAGGCAGCAGUGGGGAAUAUUGGACAAUGGGGGGAACCCUGAUCCAGCCAUGCCGCGUGUGUGAAGAAGGCCUUAUGGUUGUAAAGCACUUUAAGCGAGGAGGAGGCUACUGAGACUAAUACUCUUGGAUAGUGGACGUUACUCGCAGAAUAAGCACCGGCUAACUCUGUGCCAGCCGCCGCGGUAAAAC